rnacentral:rRNA from 1 species
UACGUAGGUGGCAAGCGUUGUCCGGAUUUGCUGGGCGUAAAGAGCGCGCAGGCGGUCGUUCAAGUCGCGUGUGAAAGCCCCCGGCUCAACUGGGGAGGGUCACGCGAUACUGAUCGACUCGAAGGCAGGAGAGGGUAGUGGAAUUCCCGGUGUAGUGGUGAAAUGCGUAGAUAUCGGGAGGAACACCAGUGGCGAAGGCGACUACCUGGCCUGUUUCUUGACGCUGAGGCGCGAAAGCUAGGGGAGCAAACGGG